rnacentral:rRNA from 1 species
CCUACGGGUGGCAGCAGUGGGGAAUAUUGCACAAUGGGGGAAACCCUGAUGCAGCGACGCCGCGUGAGUGAAGAAGUAAUUCGUUACGUAAAGCCCUAUCAGCAGGGAAGAAAAUGACGGUACCUGAGUCAGAAGCCCCGGCUAACUACGUGCAAGCAGCCGCGGUAAUACGUAGGGGGCAAGCGUUAUCCGGAUUUACGGGGUGUAAAGGGGGCGUAGGCGGUGCGCCAAGUCUGGUGUGAAAUGCCGCAGCUUAACUGCGGAACUGCGUUGGAAACUGGCGAACUAGAGUGCGGGAGGGGUAAGCGGAAUUCCUGGUGUAGCGGUGAAAUGCGUAGAUAUUAGGAGGAACACCGGUGGCGAAGGCGGCUUACUGGACCGUAACUGACGUUGAGGCGCGAAAGCGUGGGGAGCGAACAGGAUUAGAUACCCCUGUAGUC